CGCGCCUGCGCAGUGAGGGCGGCCUAGUCUGCGGCGGUGGCGGAGAAGCCCGGCGGCGGCGCGAGCACUCGGUCCCGCCCGCCCUUCGCCUCUAACUCCGGCUUCCCUGGGCUUGGCGCGCUCCGGCCCUGCCUGACCCCUCCCAACACUCGCAGCCACGCCGGGCUUUGGCUGCCUGUCUCCGCCGCCGCAAUGAUGAUGAUGGCGCUGAGCAAGACUUUCGGGCAGAAGCCCGUCAAGUUCCAGUUGGAGGACGACGGCGAAUUCUACAUGAUCGGCUCUGAGGUGGGAAACUACCUCCGUAUGUUCCGAGGUUCUCUGUACAAGAGAUACCCCUCGCUCUGGAGGCGACUAGCCACUGUGGAAGAGAGGAAGAAAAUAGUUGCAUCGUCACAUGGUAAAAAAACAAAACCUAACACUAAGGAUCAUGGAUACACAACCCUGGCCACCAGCGUGACUCUGUUAAAAGCCUCCGAGGUGGAAGAGAUCCUGGACGGCAACGAUGAGAAGUACAAGGCCGUGUCUAUCAGCACCGAGCCCCCAACCUACCUCAGGGAACAGAAAGCCAAGAGGAACAGCCAGUGGGUGCCCACCCUGCCCAACAGCUCCCACCACCUGGAUGCCGUGCCCUGCUCCACGACCAUCAACAGGAACCGCAUGGGCCGGGACAAGAAGAGGACAUUCCCACUCUGCUUUGACGACCAUGACCCAGCUGUGAUCCAUGAGAAUGCAUCCCAGCCCGAGGUGCUGGUCCCCAUCCGGCUGGACAUGGAGAUCGACGGGCAGAAGCUACGGGAUGCCUUCACUUGGAACAUGAAUGAGAAGCUGAUGACCCCUGAGAUGUUUUCAGAAAUUCUCUGUGAUGACCUGGAUUUGAACCCGCUGACAUUUGUACCAGCCAUCGCCUCUGCCAUCAGACAGCAAAUUGAGUCCUACCCCACAGACAGCAUCCUGGAGGACCAGUCAGACCAGCGGGUCAUUAUCAAGCUGAACAUCCAUGUGGGAAACAUCUCGCUGGUGGACCAGUUCGAGUGGGACAUGUCAGAGAAGGAGAACUCGCCAGAGAAGUUUGCACUGAAGCUGUGCUCUGAGCUGGGGCUGGGCGGGGAGUUCGUCACCACCAUUGCAUACAGCAUUCGGGGACAGCUGAGCUGGCACCAGAAGACCUAUGCCUUCAGAUCCUGGCCACCCUCGUGGGAGUGACAUGGCGUGUCAGUGUGGUGUGGAUCUGCAUUUCCCUGACGGCUAAUGAUGUCGAGCAUCUCAUAAUGGGCCGUUAACCAUCUAUGUAUCUUCUUUGGAAAAUAAGGCUAUUCCAGUCCUUUGGUUUUUAGUUGGGCUCUAAGUUUGUUUAUUAUUGAGUUGUGGGAAUUCAUUAUAUAUCCUCAAUGCAAGUUCCAUAUCACAUACUUGAUUUGCAAAUAUCUUCUCCCAUUUCAUGGGUUGUUUAUCACUUUCAUGACUCUAUCCUUUGAAGCACAAGUUUUUGGUUUUGAUGAUACUCAGUUUAAUCAUGUAUUCUUCCAUUGCUUGUGUUGCCUGGUCCAGGGUCUCACCCUAGCACCCUUUGCUGGAAAGACGGCCCUUCCCCCAUUGAGUGGGCUUAGCUCCUUAUCCAAAGUCAGUUUGCCAUAAACAGGAGGGUGGUGUCGAGUCUUGUCACCUCCUAACUGGCCGCAGAGCUUGGGCAAGAGGCCCCUGCAGUCUCGUUCUCACCUAUGAAGUAGGCACGGUGAACAGGCUCUUCAGCUGGUCCAUCGCACCUCAUGAGGUCAUAAAAGUAAGAUCACAUUGAAGAUGACCUCCCCGUUCUCUCCCAGCCACAGCCUCCCUGCUUGGACACCUUGGCUGGUAGGAAUAUCGGGGUCCCAGGUGCCUCGAGGCCCGGGGAGCAGAACCCCCUUGUAGGCUGGGCGGCUCUCUGCCCAUGUGUCCCCCCAUACCCAUGGGGCCUGCUGGCUCAGGCCCGUCCUCUCAUGCCUGGUCUGAACAGUUCUUACUUUAGAACAGACCCACUGGGGUGGAAUACACUGGGGAAGUAAACACAGGGGCCUCCAGGCCCUUGUUUAAAUUAAGAAGAAAACAUAUUUUGUUCCCCUCGGCGUGGCCUUGGCAACUUUCAUGUCUGCUCUUCCUCGGAAGGCAGCUGGGAGCCCCGGAGGUGAGGAAUGAUGUUUGAGUCUGUGGCUGGGUGGUUUCUUGAUCGCCAAACUGCUGCCUGGCUGGGGAACAGCUGUCAGGAGCUGCAGAGUAGGGCGGCCUGGCCCCUGGCCUCUGAGUUACAGCACAGGUUUGAGCCCUGGGCAUUGUGGGCAUGGACCCAACAGGCCACACUGUGGCAGCAAGAGGUGAGCCCUGCUCUGCGGGGGCAGGACAGCUCCGAGCUGUGUCCCAAGCACUCGAGGUCCCCAGGACCCCAGGCAGACUCUCCUCCAACCGUGGACACAGGAAGGCUGUGAGUGGGCCCCUGGCCCCAACAUACACAGUGGGUAUACAUGGGAUGUUUAGUAAUCACAAUCUUGUGAAAUCCCUCACAGCAAGGACAUCGUCCCCAUUUUCCAGAUGAGGUGUCAAAACCAAGGCCAAGGGCCAUCAUUCACUGCCCCCUCUCCCCCGCCACCGAGUUGACUCUGCAGGGCUCUGGGUGGGCCAACUCCUGAUGGGCCUUCAAGGGGCCAAGCUACGGGGCACAGGCCAGGGUGGGAGAGGUCCAGGCUUGGGCAGCGCUGCAGGAGGGGGUGAGCCGGGGGGUUGGCUCUCUUGGCCCGUGAUCUCUGGACCUCUUCACUUUUCACCACCCUGGGGUUCCGAUCAGGGCGGCAGCUCAGCCAGGUGCCCUCCAGGCCUUUGUAGUGCCCCACCCCCAGCUAAAUCCACUCACCAGAGGGUGUGCAGUGGCCUUUGGGUGGAGUCGGGGGACAGUUGCUAAGGGACCUAGGAUGCAGUGGUCAGAGGUCAUGGGUUUGGGCCCCUGUGAAGCAGGCUGAGGAGCUGGCCUCAGUGAGCAGCAUCCAACCCCCCUGCAGACUCUGCUUUCCUCUUUCUCCUGGACACUGAGCGGGUAGGCCCCCCUCCUGCUCCCCACAGGUCCAGUGGUAAUGGCUGGCCCUGCCACACUGUUCUGUGGACCCUGCCCUAGUCUUUGGCCUGGAGAUACUAUGGUGGCAGCAGAGUGCCUGCCGAGAGCCACUUCAAGGAGAAAUCCACUGGGUGGUGGGCCAGCGGUAUUGGUGCUGCGGAGGGAAGGGAAGGGCCAAGUGGCCCCAGUGGCUCUGCCCUGAGGUUCUGGUCCAUGUGCUGGUGGGCGGGGGUGGAUGGUGGUUUCUGGGGCCUCUCUGGCCGCUGCUCCAUGAUCUGCCUCCUUCCCACCUUCCACAGUGAGAACCCCCUGCCCACGGUGGAGAUUGCCAUCCGGAACACAGGCGAUGCUGACCAGUGGUGCCCGCUGCUGGAGACCCUGACAGAUGCCGAGAUGGAAAAGAAGAUCCGCGACCAGGACAGGAACACAAGGCGGAUGAGGCGUCUGGCCAAUACUGCUCCGGCCUGGUAACCACCCGGUGGUGCAUGGCUCCCACGGAGCAUGUGAAGAUUGGACCGCCCACCUCUCCUGUCUUCUGGGAGGAGGGCAUGAGGAGAGGCAGCCCGGCUGCCUGAGGAGCAUGGGGUAGGGGCCUCUCAGUCGCCCCCCACCCACCCCCGGGUACACAUUCCGUUUGCUGAGCCCCAGUCCCCGCUGCCCGUCUCUGGUCAGGAAGAGGCCUUGUUUUGGGUUGUGUUUUGUUUUUGUAUAGGAACCCCAGGCAGGGCAAGCAACACUUUUUAAAUAAAAGGCAACAAGUCCUGUUCUGUUUCAUCAAA